UACGUAGGUGACCAGCGUUGUCCGGAUUUACUGGGCGUAAAGAGCGCGCAGGCGGUCGUUCAAGUCGAGUGUGAAAGCCCCCGGCUCAACUGGGGAGGGUCACUCGAUACUGAUCGACUGGAAGGCAGGAGAGGGUAGUGGAAUUCCCGGUGUAGUGGUGAAAUGCGCAGAUAUCAGGAGGAACACCGAUGGCGAAGGCAGGUCUCUGGGCCACUACUGACGCUGAGAAGCGAAAGCAUGGGGAGCGAACAGG
rnacentral:rRNA from 1 species